AUUGAACGCUGGCGGCAUGCUUUACACAUGCAAGUCGAACGGUAACAGGGUGCUAGCACCGCUGACGAGUGGCGAACGGGUGAGUAAUGCGUCGGAACGUGCCGAGUAGUGGGGGAUAACGCAGCGAAAGUUGUGCUAAUACCGCAUACGUACUGAGGUAGAAAGUGGGGGACCUUCGGGCCUCACGCUAUUCGAGCGGCCGACGUCUGAUUAGCUAGUAGGUGAGGUAAAGGCUCACCUAGGCGACGAUCAGUAGCGGGUCGGAGAGGAUGAUCCGCCACAAUGGGACUGAGACACGGCCCAGACGCCUACGGGAGGCAGCAGUGGGGAAUUUUGGACAAUGGGCGGAAGCCUGAUCCAGCCAUGCCGCGUGUCUGAAGAAGGCCUUCGGGUUGUAAAGGACUUUGUCAGGGAGGAAAUCCCUAGCGUUAAUACCGCUGGGGGAUGACAGUACCUGAAGAAUAAGCACCGGCUAACUACGUGCCAGCCGCCGCAGUAACAC
rnacentral:rRNA from 1 species